CAACUGAUAUGACGUGCUUGCACUGAAUUGACGUUGGAUUCCCAGUGAGCGGCGGACGGGUGAGUAACACGUGGGCAACCUGCCCUGAAGCGGGGGAUAACAUCUGGAAACAGGUGCUAAUACCGCAUAACAACGAAAACCACAUGGUUUUCGUUUCAAAGAUGGUUUCGGCUAUCACUUCAGGAUGGGCCCGCGGUGCAUUAGCUAGUUG
rnacentral:rRNA from 1 species